AACACCGCGCGCCUCGAUCCCAUCUUCUCCUCUCCUAGUAGCAACGGGGGAAAGUGAUAUCAAUUCGUCUUACGGCUCGGCGAGUCUCCCACUGGUCAUAUCGCAGGCGGCCGCGCACGCACUCCCGAUUCCGAACUCCUGGCGCGGGUGAAGUUAUUCCGACCGCAGGACGCCAGCGGCGGUUACACCCUUUCGCAAGUCGGCGAGACGUCCACCACACCCCCCCCCCCUCCGCGCGACAGGACAACGUCGUCACAAGGAUCGCGUCACGUGAACCCUUUCGGAAUUGUUUGGGGGGGGGAGAAACUACAAGGUUUCCGWMKGUGAACCUGCCGGAAGGAUCAUUG
rnacentral:rRNA from 1 species